rnacentral:rRNA from 1 species
GCGUGACUGAUGAAGGUCUUCGAUUGUAAAGGUCUGUUGUAAGGGAAGAAGUUCUAGAAUAGGAAAUGAUUUUAGUUCGACCAUACCUUACCAGAAAGCCACGGCUAACUAUGUGCCAGCAGCCGCGGUAAUACUAGGUGGCAAGCGUUAUCCGGAUUUAUUGGGCGUAAAGCGUGCGUAGACGGUUUUGCAGCCUCUGAG